AAAAAACAUUUGAUUAAGGAUUGCUGUGAAUCAUAAAGUUGCACACAAAGUUGCUGAGAGAGCGAGCAAGUUAACAAAGUUGCUCAAUUAUUAUUUUUGUGUUAAAUUGAUUUGAAUAUGGUUUCUGAACUGAGAAUUUUUUUUCUUUCCUUGUUUAUUUUUAUCCAAGGAAGAAGGGAAAACCAAUCAAAUAUGUUAAGAAUGCAGAGUUAGAAGCUUUCAAUAUGUUCAUGUAAUAAUUUUUCUCGUCAUCCAUUCUUUUCUCUUCUGUGCAGGUUUUUCAUUUGAGUUUGUGAUUUUGUUUGGUUACUGGUUUACGGACUUUCUGUAGAGAUAGAUAGUUUGAUAGUCCCAAUUCAUUAAGUACUUGAGCUUGUGUGCUAUUGGUUGACUAGUACAAUUCGUCUGUUCUGUAAUAAUUUGAUGAUUUGGCACUUGGUUCCUUUUGGUAUAUGCGUCUCUUGUACUCAAUUUCAGUUGUUUAGCACUUCUCGUACUAAAUUCGAUGAUCAAGUAUUAUCACCAGGGACGGAUCUAGGAAGAACUCGCGCCUCAACCAUAAGGGCAAAGCUACAAUUAAUUAAACUUAUAUAACAGAAAUAUUAAAGCACUUAAUUGGGGCAAGUACUCCCACUGCCCCCACUGUCUUAUUGUUGCAAGUAUCUGAAUAUAUCUGCUAAGAUAAUGAAUUUAGUUACUUCAUAGUUCAUAUUUAUAUUUGUUAUGACAUUCUUUCCAAUAUUUAUGCUCUAAUUGUGAACCUGAACAUUUUUCUUCUCACAGAGAGAGAAAUUUCUUCAAAGCGCUGAUGUCAUAUGAUGUACUUGUGUUGGUACUGGAGAUCCUAGAUGGCAUAAUUUUCGACCGCAGCAGGUCCUAAUUGACAAGUCAAUGCAAUCAACUGAACCAGAGUGUCUGAUUCCAUUAAUUCUUGGAGUAAAGUAGGUUGUUCUUGUUGGUCACCGUUGCCAACUUGGUCCUGUGUCAUUAUGUGCAAAAAGCAGCUCACUCUGGACUAGCACAGUCUUUGUUUGAGCGUCUGGUGUAAAAUCAAUCAGAUUGGAGGUGCAAUACCAGAAGCAUCCAUCCCUUUCUGAAUUCUCAUUGAAUAGCUUCUAUGAACCCUUCAGAAUCGAGUUACAAUAAAUGAAAGGCAAUCGACAAGCAUUAGUUUUCCUUGGCCUGUGCCAAAUCAGCCAGUGUUCUUUUACAUGCAGAGACGUGUGAAUCCAUCAAAUAUGUUCAUACACAGACCACACAAAGAUGCAAUUUAUGGAUCCCACAUGAUGAAAAGAAGAUGGAUAAUUCAAUUCACAAAGUAAACAACACACGUUCGGGAAGUGAUGAGCGAUGUGAGAGCUGUAGCUAGCGUCAUCUUGUGAUUUGGUUCUUUGUAUUUGCAGCAUCUACUCAAUAUAUAAAAUCCCCGUCUUUUUCUACAAAUUAGGCACUCGUGUGGGUGUGUCCUCUUGUUUCUUCGACUGUCCUUUCCGUGAAUUUCAUACUAUAUCCUCUCUGUAUCGAAUCAAACCCAUGUUGCUCUUGUUUGUUGUCUU